rnacentral:rRNA from 1 species
CCUACGGGUGGCAGCAGUAGGGAAUUUUCGGCAAUGGGGGCAACCCUGACCGAGCAACGCCGCGUGAACGAAGAAGUUAUUCUUAAUGUAAAGUUCUUUUAAUAGGGAAGAAAGCGAAAUUUGACGGUACCUGCUGAAUAAGCCCCGGCUAACUACGUGCCAUCAGCCGCGGUAAUACGUAGGGGUCGAGCGUUAUCUGGAAUUAUUGGGCGAAAGGGGUGCGUAGAUGGCAUAGUAGGUCUUUGGUAAAAAUGCUGGGCUAAACCCAGUAGGGCAAAAGAUACUGCAAAGCUAGAGUAUAACAGAGGCAAGUGGAACUACAUGUGUAGCGGUAAAAUGCGUAGAUAUAUGUAAGAACACCAGUGGCGAAGGCGGCUUGCUGGGUCGAUACUGACAUUGAGGCACGAAAGCGUGGGGAGCAAACAGGAUUAGAUACCCCUGUAGUC